GGAUAUGAGGGUGAUCUGGCUGUGACAUGUCACCCCAUUGAUUGCCAGGGUUGGCUGAGCUGUUCUGGCUGGCCAGGCAGGUGUCCCCUCUCAUUGCUCCAUGUGCAUCCCUUGAAGCUGUGUUCUUGGUCCAAGAUGACCAUCCUGGAUAGAACAGGACUGUUUUCUUGGUCAAGGGAGUGGGAGUAACUGCGCUCUGCUGCUAGAAACUCCAAACAAGCUCUCAAAUAUAGGCCUAGAUUUUUUUUUAAAAGCACCCACCAAAUCCUUCAUCAGUUGCCAGAUAUGAUCCUUU
rnacentral:snRNA from 1 species